CGCGCAUCUCGCGUCUACCGCGUGCGGUCACCGCGCCGUUUCUCUACCUUUUUCGCAGGAAGGCGGAUCCCAAGCGUCCGGUCGCUGUCACCGGGGACGCCUCCGCAGUGCUGUCAUAGAACCAGAGAGAUGGUUCCUAAUGGAUUCAACCUGCUGUCGUUGGCUCUGAAAAUGGAGGAGGGGAAACGAGCCAAGGAAUGUGGGCAGCCUCUAGAAGCUGAGAAUGGCCCUCUGUUUAUAGCCAGCAAGAAGAUGGGGACCUCAGCCCCACCACUGCCAAGAAGUGAAUUCUGCCAACAGCCCGAAUGGGCAGGAAACGGAUUCUCCCCUAGAACCUCCAGAAGGAACACAAGCAGCCUGUCAACACCUUGGUUUUAGUCUAGUGAGACUCGUAUCAAACUCCCACCCUACAGAAUUAUAAUAAACUUGUGUUGUUUUAAGCCUCUAAGUUUGUGGCAAGUUUUACAGCAGUAAUAUAGAACUAAUAAAGUAGUGAGCCUUCCCA